GCCUGGGUGGCUCAGUCGGUUAAGUGUCUGACUUUGGCUCAGGUCAUGAUCUCACGGUUCAUGGGUUUGAGCCCCAUGUCAGGCU
rnacentral:tRNA from 1 species